rnacentral:rRNA from 1 species
AGUGAACGCUGGCGGUAGGCCUAACACAUGCAAGUCGAACGGCAGCACAGAGGAGCUUGCUCCUUGGGUGGCGAGUGGUGGACGGGUGAGGAAUACAUCGGAAUCUACUCUGUCGUGGGGGAUAACGUAGGGAAACUUACGCUAAUACCGCAUACGACCUACGGGUGAAAGCAGGGGAUCUUCGGACCUUGCGCAAUUGAAUGAGCCGAUGUCGGAUUAGCUAGUUGGCGGGGUAAAGGCCCACCAAGGCGACGAUCCGUAGCUGGUCUGAGAGGAUGAUCAGCCACACUGGAACUGAGACACGGUCCAGACUCCUACGGGAGGCAGCAGUGGGGAAUAUUGGACAAUGGGCGCAAGCCUGAUCCAGCCAUACCGCGUGGGUGAAGAAGGCCUUCGGGUUGUAAAGCCCUUUUGUUGGGAAAGAAAUCCAUCUGGUUAAUACCCGGGUGGGAUGACGGUACCCAAAGAAUAAGCACCGGCUAACUUCGUGCCAGCCGCCGCAGUAA